AUUGAACGCUGGCGGCAGGCCUAACACAUGCAAGUCGAGCGGAUGAAGGGAGCUUGCUCCUGGAUUCAGCGGAGGACGGGUGAGUAAUGCCUAGGAAUCUGCCUGGUAGUGGGGGAUAACGUCCGGAAACGGGCGCUAAUACCGCAUACGUCCUGAGGGAGAAAGUGGGGGAUCUUCGGACCUCACGCUAUCAGAUGAGCCUAGGUCGGAUUAGCUAGUUGGUGGGGUAAAGGCCUACCAAGGCGACGAUCCGUAACUGGUCUGAGAGGAUGAUCAGUCACACUGGAACUGAGACACGGUCCAGACUCCUACGGGAGGCAGCAGUGGGGAAUAUUGGACAAUGGGCGAAAGCCUGAUCCAGCCAUGCCGCGUGUGUGAAGAAGGUCUUCGGAUUGUAAAGCACUUUAAGUUGGGAGGAAGGGCAGUAAGUUAAUACCUUGCUGUUUUGACGUUACCAGCAGAAUAAGCACCGGCUAACUUCGUG
rnacentral:rRNA from 1 species